UAGGGGUGCAAGCGUUGUCCGGAAUCAUUGGGCGUAAAGGGUGCGUAGGCGUCCGGACAAGUUGAAUGUUAAAUCCUUCGGCUUAACUGAAGAUCUGCAUUCAAAACUGUCUGGAUUGAGUUUGAGAGAGGAAAGUGGAAUUCCUGGUGUAGCGGUGACAUGCGUAGAUAUCAGGAGGAACACCAAUGGCGAAGGCAGCUUUCUGGCUCAAAACUGACGCUGAGGCACGAAAGCGUGGGGGGGAGCAAACAGGAUUAGAUACCCUGGUAGUCCACGCCGUAAACGAUGAGCACUAGGAUGUCCGGGGGAUUCGACCCUUCGGUGUCUUAAGCUAACGCAAUAAGUGCUCCGGCCUGGGGACUCGACCGCAAGGUUG
rnacentral:rRNA from 1 species